rnacentral:misc_RNA from 1 species
UACGUAGGGACCGAGCGUUGUCCGGAAUUAUUGGGCGUAAAGAGCUCGUAGGCGGCCCACUAAGUCUGAUGUGAAAUCUCACGGCUCAACCGUGAAACUGCAUCCGAUACUGGUGGGCUUGAGGCAGGUAGGGGAAGGUGGAAUUCCUGGUGUAGCGGUGAAAUGCGCAGAUAUCAGGAGGAACACCGGUGGCGAAGGCGGCCUUCUGGGCCUGUACUGACGCUGAGGAGCGAAAGCGUGGGGAGCAAACAGG